GAUGAACGCUGGCGGCGUGCCUAAUACAUGCAAGUCGAGCGAACAGACGAGGAGCUUGCUCCUUCGGCGUUAGCGGCGGACGGGUGAGUAACACGUAGGUAACCUACCUAUAUGACUGGGAUAACUUCGGGAAACCGGAGCUAAUACCGGAUAAUAUUUCGAACCGCAUGGUUCGAUAGUGAAAGAUGGCUUUGCUAUCACUUAUAGAUGGACCUGCGCCGUAUUAGCUAGUUGGUAAGGUAACGGCUUACCAAGGCAACGAUACGUAGCCGACCUGAGAGGGUGAUCGGCCACACUGGAACUGAGACACGGUCCAGACUCCUACGGGAGGCAGCAGUAGGGAAUCUUCCGCAAUGGGCGAAAGCCUGACGGAGCAACGCCGCGUGAGUGAUGAAGGUCUUCGGAUCGUAAAACUCUGUUAUUAGGGAAGAACAAACGUGUAAGUAACUGUGCACGUCUUGACGGUACCUAAUCAGAAAGCCACGGCUAACUACGUG
rnacentral:rRNA from 1 species